AUGGCUCAAGAUAAUACUAAAUUGUGUGACUUUGCCAAUACCAACAAUAAUUAUUUUAUUAGCACUCUGAUUGCUCCUCUUACCGAUGCUGAAUCUUGUGAAAUUAAUACUGCUUUGCUGAAUCUUGUCAUGAAAGAUCUGUUUUCUGGCCUUCCUAGUGAAGAUGUCGCUACCCAUCUAAACAAGUUUGUAGAUUUGUGUGAUAUGCAAAAUAAGAAAGAUGUGGAUAAUGAUAUUAUUAAGCUUAAGCUAUUUCCGUUUUCGCUUAGAGAUCGUGCUAAAGCUUGGUUUUCGUCUUUGCCUAAAACUAGUAUUGAUUCAUGGAACAAGUGCAAAGAUGCUUUUAUCUCUAAGUAUUUUCCUCCUGGUCUUUGCCUAAAAAUAGUAAGAUCAUCUCUCUUAGAAAUGAUAUUAUGA
rnacentral:rRNA from 1 species